AAAACUCUAAGCGGUGGAUCAGUCGGCUCAUAGGUCGAUGAAGAACUCAACAAACUGUGCGUCAUCGUGUGAACUGCAGGACACAUGAACAUCGACAUUUUGAACGCAUAUCGCAGUCCAUGCUGUUAUGUACUUUAAUUAAUUUUAUAGUGCUGCUUGGACUACAUAUGGUUGAGGGUAGUAAGACUAUGCUAAUUAAGUUGUUUAUAAAUUUUAUAAGCAAAUGGUAUAUUAUUUGAUAAAAUAAUAAUUUUUUUAUUCAUAAUAUUAAAAAAUAUAUAUGAAAAACAUUAUCUCACAUUUGGAUGUGAAAAACGAAUAGAAAUAUUUUCUUUUUCGAUCAAGUAAUACUGAGAAAUGUCUAGCAUAAAAAAUUUAAUUAUUUUUCAUCUAGAAUUGUCUCUUAUUAAUGAUUCGGAAAUAUAAAAAACUUGGUUAUGUUAUUAUUCUUCGUUGGUUCGUUUAAUGGAAAACACUUUGCUACAAGAAAUAAUGGAAAUUUUAUAACGAAUUUAAUAAAAUGUUUUUAUCAAGAAUUAAUUAUAAAGAAUUAAUGGCAAGAAAAAGUUAUAUACAACCUUAACUCAUAUGGGACUACCCCCUGAAUUUAAGCAUAUUAAUUAGGGGAGGAAAACUAACAAGGAUUUUCUUAGUAGCGGCGAGCGAAAAGAAAACAGUUCCAGCAUUAAGUCACUUUGUCUAUAUGGCAAAUGUGAGAUGCAGUGUAUUUAGCGUCAAUAUUCUAGUAUGAGAAAUUAACGAUUUAAGUCCUUCUUAAAUGAGGCCAUUUACCCAUAGAGGGUGCCAGGCCCGUAUAACGUUAAUGAAUACUAGAUGAUGUUUCCAAAGAGUCGUGCUGCUUGAUAGUGCAGCACUAAGUGGUUGGUAAACUCCAUCUAAAAAUAAAUAUAACCAUGAGACCCAUAGUAAACAAGUACAGUUAGGGGAAAGUUGAAAAUAACUCUGAAUAGAGAGUUAAACAGUACGUGAAAUGCUUAGAGGUUAAGCCCGAUGAACCUGAAUAUCCGUUAUGUAAAAUUCAUCAAUAAAAUUGUAUUAUUUAAAUAAUAUUAUGGGGAUAGUGUGCAUUUUUUGGGUAUAAGGACAUUGUAAUCUAUUAGCAUAUACAAAAUUUAUCAUAAAAUAUAACUUAUAGUUAUAAUUUUAUAAUGGCUUUGAUUUUUGUGUUUAUUAUAUGCACUUGUAUGAAUAACAAUGCGAAAGAUUCAGGAUACCUUCGGGACCCGGUUUGAAACACGGACCAAGGAGUCUAACAUAUAUGCAAGUUAUUGGAAUAUAUACCUAAUAUCGUAAUUAACUUGACUAAUAAUGGGAUUAGUUUUUUAACUAUUUAUAGCUAAUUAACACAAUCCCGGGGCGUUCUAUAUAGUUAUUUAUAAUGUAUAUUUAUAUUAUUUAUGCCUCUUACUGGAACGUACCUUGAGCAUAUAUGCUGUGACCCGAAAGAUGGUGAACUAUCAGUGAUCAGGUUGAAGUCAGGGGAAACCCUGAUGGAAGACCGAAACAUUUCUGACGUGCAAAUCGAUUGCCAGAAUUGAGUAUAGGGGCAAGAGACCAAUCGAACCAUCUAGUAGCUGGUUCCUUCCGAAGUUUCCCUCAGGAUAGCUGAUGCAUUUUAAUAUUAUAUAAAAUAAUCUUAUCUGGUAAAGCGAAUGAUUAGAGGCCUUACGGUCGAAACGAUCCUAACCUAUUCUCAAACUUUAACUGGGUAAGAACCUUAACUUUCUUGAUAUGAAGUUCAAGGUUAUGAUAUAAUGUGCCCAGUGGGCCACUUUUGGUAAGCAGAACUGGCGCUGUGGGAUGAACCAAACGUAAUGUUACGGUGCCCAAAUUAACAACUCAUGCUGAUACCAUGAAAGGCGUUGGUUGCUUAAAACAGCAGGACGGUGAUCAUGGAAGUCGAAAUCCGCUAAGGAGUGUGUAACAACUCACCUGCCGAAGCAACUAGCCCUUAAAAUGGAUGGCGCUUAAGUUGUAUACCUAUACAUUACCGCUAAAGUAGAUGAUUUAUAUUACUUGUGAUAUAAAUUUUGAAACUUUAGUGAGUAGGAAGGUACAAUGGUAAGCGUAUAAGUGUUUGGCGUAAGCCUGCAUGGAGCUGCCAUUGGUACACAUCUAAUACAUCUAACACAUCUAAUAAUAAUAAUUGAAUGAGACCUUGGAGGACUGAAGUGGAGAAGGGUUUCGUGUGAACAGUGGUUGAUCAGGAGUUAGUCGGUCCCAAGUUCAAGGCGAAAGCCGAAAAUUUUCAAGUAAAACAAAAAUGCCAAAUUAUAUAAACAAAGCGAAAAUAAUACACUUGAAUAAUUUUGAACGAAAGGGAAUAUGGUUCCAAUUCCGUAACCUGUUGAGUAUCCGUUUGUUAUUAAAUAUGGGCCUCGUGCUCAUCCUGGCAACAGGAACGACCAUAAAAAAGCCGUCGAGAGAUAUCGGAAGAGUAUUUCUUGCUGUACUACCAUGGAAGUCUUUCGCAGAGAGAUAUGGUAGAUGGACUAGAAGAGCAUGACAUAUACUGUUGUGUCGAUAUUUUCUCCUCGGACCUUGAAAAUUUAUGAUACGCAACCUUCUCAACAGGCCGUACCAAUAUCCGCAGCUGGUCUCCAAGGUGAAGAGUCUAUGUCGACAGAAUAAUGUAGGUAAGGGAAGUCGG
rnacentral:rRNA from 1 species